AUGCACUCACAAGCAAAUAUUAAAAUUCUACACGGUGAUGUCAAACCAGCAAAUAUACUCUUGGAUGAGAACUUUGUACCCAAGAUUUCAGACUUUGGCAUAUCUAGGUUGCUUGCGAGAGACAAGGAACACACUGCAUCAGUCAUCGGCGACAUGAAUUAUAUGGAUCCGGUAUAUCCACAGGAAGGCCUACUCACCGAAAAAAAUGAUGUCUAUAGUUUCGGAGUUGCGAUCUUGGAGCUUAUUAACAGGAGAAGGGCCAUACAUUCUGAGAAUGAUAGCUCGGUUAAGAGUUUCCUUGAAGCCAGUAAGAAACAGAAGAAAGCGACAAAAUUGUUUGACAAGGAAAUUGCAAUAGCAGAAGAUUUGGAGCUUCUUGAUAGCCUAGCAGGUAUGUCUGUGGAAUGCCUUAGCCUUGAUGUAGAUCAAAGACCAACGAUGAUGGAGGUAGCUCAGCGGCUACACAUACUAAGUCGAUCUCGGAAAGUGCAAGAUGUU
rnacentral:rRNA from 1 species